GAGAAGAACGUAGCGAAAUGCGAUAAGUAAUGUGAAUUGCAGAAUUCAGUGAAUCAUCGAAUCUUUGAACGCACCUUGCGCUCCUUGGUAUUCCGAGGAGCAUGCCUGUUUGAGUGUCAUGAAAUUCUCAACCUUUUCAGCUUUCUUUGUUGAUCAGGCUUGGAUGUGGGAGUAUGCGGGCUUCUCAGAAGUCGGCUCUCCUGAAAUGCAUUAGCGGGACCUUUGUUGCCUGGCUUUGGUGUGAUAAUUAUCUACGCCAUUGUAGUCACGCAGCUUAAAAUGAGGUUUCAGCUUCUAACCGUCACCCCUGAGACAACUUUUUGACAAUUUGACCUCAAAUCAGGUAGGACUACCCGCUGAACUUAAGCAUAUCAAUAAGCGGAGGA
rnacentral:misc_RNA from 1 species